ensembl:lncRNA
AAAUAAUUGAAGGUAUGCUUGUAUACUAGAAGUCUUCUGCUGUAGUUUCGAAAUCAUUUUUGUUUACUCUAAUCGUUUCUGCUCCUGAAAUGAGUGGUCUCUUCUGGGAUGACCACACCCCAAUCCAUAGAGCAUGAGGACUCACUGGUCUGAUGGGGAUGAAAAAUGAUGUAAAUCAUAUGUUAUGCCCUUCACAGUCUGCAGAUCUCAACCCAAUUGAACGCCUAUAGGAGACUUUGGACCAGCGUGCUCAUGCUCUCCACCAUCAUCAUCAAAACACUAAUUGAAGGAAUAUCUUUUAGAAGAGUGGUGUUCAUGAUCAUCCCUAAAGUACAGUUCCAGAGACGUGUAGGAUCAAUGCCAAGGUGCACUGAAGCUCACCUGGUGGUUUAACACCUCACUAAGAAACUCUAUAUUCGUUUUUUACUUCAAUUUAUCACCUGUCCAUGAAUUAAAAGAAAGCCAUUUAGCUACAUAGAUGGCAUUCAGUACAUGGAAUAAAUAAGUCAAAUGAUAUAAUAAAUAAUAAAAUGUAGCAGUGGUUAAAACUUAAAGGAAUACUUCUGUGUUUUUCCAAGUUAAUCUCUAUCCAUGGCAUCUGUAGCAUGUGUGUUUACCACAGUCAUUUCUAUAGUCAUUGAAUUAUUUCAAUAAAUACAUACGCUUUCAUACAUUGUUCAGUUGAAAAUGAAGUGCUCCAGCAACUGAGUGUUGUAUACAGCUACAAAAGAACAGUCUUUAACAGUCUAAUGGUUUCUCUGAUGUCUGUCUCAUCCACAGAGUGUAACGGUUGUGUUACUGGCUGUCCAUUAUAAGACGUCCAUUAUAAGUUAGUUGAGUCAACAUGUUUUCCGUUCUUUUCUUAGUACAGGAAAACAUCUUGUCCAUGGAAACUGCACAUGCGCUACAGAUAGUGUGAACAGUGAAUAGGUUGAAAAAAUGCAGGAGUAUUCCUUUAAGGAACUUUGAUCCAGUAAAUGUGCAAAGUCCUUUCCUUCAUUGCAGUGCAGUGUAUUUCCUGCUAGCAGCUCAGUGGUGCAGAGACCUGCCCAGCACCCAUCACAAUUUAACGUCUGUUCCUGAAGCACACAUAUAACGUAACAGUACAUGCUGCCUUGCCGAUCUCCCAUAUAUUACUCUUUUGGUCCGAAUAACAUUAUGGUGAGAAAAGCAAAGCGU